rnacentral:rRNA from 1 species
AGUGAACGCUGGCGGUAGGCCUAACACAUGCAAGUCGAACGGCAGCACAGUAAGAGCUUGCUCUUACGGGUGGCGAGUGGCGGACGGGUGAGGAAUACAUCGGAAUCUACUUUUUCGUGGGGGAUAAUGUAGGGAAACUUACGCUAAUACCGCAUACGACCUACGGGUGAAAGCAGGGGAUCUUCGUACCUUGCGCGAUUGGAUGAGCCGAUGUCGGAUUUGCUAGUUGGCGGGGUAAAGGCCCACCAAGGCGACGAUCCGUAGCUGGUCUGAGAGGAUGAUCAGCCACACUGGAACUGAGACACGGUCCAGACUCCUACGGGAGGCGGCAGUGGGGAAUAUUGGACACUGGGCGCAAGCCUGAUCCAGCCAUACCGCGUGGGUGAAGAAGGCCUUCGGGUUGUAAAGCCCUUUUGUUGGGAAAGAAAAGCAGCAGGUUAAUACCCCGCUGUUCUGACGGUACCCAAAGAAUAAGCACCGGCUAACUUCGUG